rnacentral:rRNA from 1 species
UUUCGCCUGUUUAUCAAAAACAUCGCCUCUUGAAAACCACACAUAAGAGGUCCCGCCUGCCCGGUGACCCUGGGUUAAACGGCCGCGGUAUCUUGACCGUGCGAAGGUAGCGCAAUCACUUGUCCUUUAAAUGAGAACCUGUAUGAAUGGCUAGACGAGGGCUUAACUGUCUCCUCCCCCCAGUCAAUGAAAUUGAUCUCCCCGUGCAGAAGCGGGGAUACACCCAUAAGACGAGAAGACCCUAUGGAGCUUUAGACACUAGACAGCCCACGUUACACCCCCUCCCCUAAGAAGGAAAAACACUGUGGCCCCUGCCUCCCCUGUCUUCGGUUGGGGCGACCGCGGAGGAUAAAAGAGCCUCCAUGUGGACCAAGGUUACUAACCUCAAAACUAAGGGCCACUGCCCUAAGCAACAGAAAAUCUGACCAGAAUGAUCCGGCGAAUGCCGAUUAACGGAACAAGUUACCCUAGGGAUAACAGCGCAAUCCUCUCCCAGAGUCCUAUCCGACGAGGGGGUUUACGACCUCGAUGUUUGGAUUCANGACAUCCNANUGGGUUGCANCCGCUUAAUAAGGGGUUCGUUUUGUUCAAACGAUUAAAGGUCCCUACGUGGAUCUGAGUUCAAAACCCGGG